UACGUAGGGUGCGAGCGUUAAUCGGAAUUACUGGGCGUAAAGCGUGCGCAGGCGGUUUUGUAAGCCAGAUGUGAAAUCCCCGGGCUUAACCUGGGAAUGGCAUUUGGGACUGCAAGGCUCGAGUGCGGCAGAGGAGACUGGAAUUCCUGGUGUAGCAGUGAAAUGCGUAGAUGUCAGGAGGAACACCGAUGGCGAAGGCGGGUCUCUGGGCCGAUACUGACGCUGAGGAGCGAAAGCGUGGGGAGCGAACAGG
rnacentral:rRNA from 1 species